rnacentral:rRNA from 1 species
GAUUUGCGCAAUGGGCGAAAGCCUGAUGCAGCAAUGACCGCGUGAGGGAUGACGGCCUAUGGGUUGUAAACCUCUUUUUUCAGGGAGGAAUCAAUGACGUGUACCUGAAUAAUAAGCAUCGGCUACCUCCGUG